AACGCACAUUGCGCCCCUUGGUAUUCCAUGGGGCAUGCCUGUUCGAGCGUCAUUUGUACCCUCAAGCUCUGCUUGGUGUUGGGCGUUUUGUCUCGCGUUGCGCGUAGACUCGCCUUAAAGCGAUUGGCAGCCGGCAUAUUGGCCUUGGAGCGCAGCACAUUUUGCGUUUCUCGUCAUGAAUGUUGGCAUCCAUUAAGCCUAUACAUUUGCUCUUGACCUCGGAUCAGGUAGGGAUACCCGCUGAACUUAA
rnacentral:misc_RNA from 1 species